rnacentral:tRNA from 1 species
AGAUAAGUAUUUAAAUUUAUAAAUCCUAAUCUGCAAUUAGAAAUUGUAUCACUACCUUAUCUA